rnacentral:rRNA from 2 species
GAACUGUGAGACAGGUGCUGCAUGGCUGUCGUCAGCUCGUGUUGUGAAAUGUUGGGUUAAGUCCCGCAACGAGCGCAACCCUUAUCCUUUGUUGCCAGCGGUCCGGCCGGGAACUCAAAGGAGACUGCCAGUGAUAAACUGGAGGAAGGUGGGGAUGACGUCAAGUCAUCAUGGCCCUUACGACCAGGGCUACACACGUGCUACAAUGGCGCAUACAAAGAGAAGCGACCUCGCGAGAGCAAGCGGACCUCAUAAAGUGCGUCGUAGUCCGGAUUGGAGUCUGCAACUCGACUCCAUGAAGUCGGAAUCGCUAGUAAUCGUGGAUCAGAAUGCCACGGUGAAUACGUUCCCGGGCCUUGUACACACCGCCCGUCACACCAUGGGAGUGGGUUGCAAAAGAAGUAGGUAGCUUAACCUUCGGGAGGGCGCUUACCACUUUGUGAUUCAUGACUGGGGUGAAGUCGUAACAAGGUAACCGUAGGGGAACCUGC